ACCCUCAAUCUGGGUGGGCGCCGUCUAAUCAGAUACCAGCGUGGCUAAAGCAGGCAGAAGAAGGUGGAAGGAGUGAACUUGCUGAGUCUUCCAGCCUUCAUCUCUUUCCUGUGCUGGAUGCUUCCUGCCUCCAAACAUCUGACUCCAAGUUCCUCGGCUUUUGGACUCUUGGACUUACACUGUGGUUUGCCAGGGGCUCCUGGGCCUUCACCCACAGACUGAAGGCUGCACUGUCGGUUUCCUUGCUUUUGAGGUUUUGGGACUUGCACUGUCUUCCUUGCUCCUCAGCUUGCAGAUGGCCUAUUGCAGUACUUCACCUUGUGAUCAUAUUUUUCAAGUGGAUUGCUACAGCUCUAAAAUAGUGGCUGCUGUUUCGACCUAUGGAUAAUUAGAACAUUAAAAUGCACAGUGUGACAUACAAUCAUGAGAACGAAGGACACAGAAGAUUCAAAUAAGCCAUGCAUGAAGAAUGUGACUUAGAUUGAAAUGAUGUUUUUGAAUUUUUUUUAAUGGGUCACUAUUUUUAUUCCUGAGAUGGGGUGAGUGUGUGUGGAAAGUUGUUGUAAGUGGAGGGCAACAGAAAUUCUGAGAAACGGUGAAACAGCCAUAAAAAUGAAGGGGAAAGUUUAGACCAAGGGAAAAUCACUUGCUCUGAAUUGUAAGUAAUGUGGACUAGCAACUAUCAGGAAAAUGGUUAAAAUAAUAGUGGAUUCCAUUUCUGUGUACCUGCAGAGGCUCAGGUGCUCGAGCUGGCUUUUCAUAUAAUGAUUACAAAAAUAACACGUGCUACCACUUUCCUGUGUGCCAGCCAUUGGCUGAAUGCUUCACAUGGGUUAAUUAAUUUAUUUUCACAGCCUGAGAGAGGUUAAAUAAGUAACCAAACAGCACAGGUAGCUGGUGCAGCUGGCUUUAGCCCCAGGUCUGCCUGGCUCCAAGGCCUGCAGUAGUGGCCUGUGAGCUGCAUUCCUGGCUGUUGUCAUGGUGAUGCAGAUGAGCUACCUUGUAUGCGGGACCCGUGCACAGGAACAGAGCUACCUCCCAUGUGGCGCGUGUUUACCUGUAUGUGUGGUUUUAACAUAUCUGCAAAGAGCAUAUCUGGGUUUUCAAGCAGGAGAGACUGUAAAACUAUGUUUAAACAGUAUGGGGCUGAGUAAAGCAUCCUGUGAUAUAUGUUCUCCAGAGGAGAGCAAAUUGGUUGGCUGUUAUUUUUAUACUUUGACCUUGUGAGUUUUAUUUUUAAUUAAUAAUUUGACAAAAUCUGAAUAAGGAUUUCCAAAUUUUUAAGGGGAAAAUUCUUUCCAUUCCUGUUGUAGAUUUCACUGACCAUUAGUCUUUUAACUGCCCUAUUUCAUCCUGUUUACAAUGAGCUGUUACGUAACAGAUCAAAAUGGCAGCGUUCCAAGAACUUAACUGCUACUCAAAUGUCAGUUGGGGUACGUAGUGUUUGAAAUAUUUUUCACUUGCUGUUAAUAGCUGUUAUGUGGUUCCUGUGUCCAAAUACUAAGUGCAUUUGCUCAUAGAUGUUCGCAUAUAAAGAAUGAGAUCUGGGGAUGCUGAAGUCGAUGUCAUACUAUCAUUAACAAAUUUAUGUUUUCAUAACUUUGCUACUAAGCUUAAAGAUGUGUUCCCUUCUUUUUAUUCUCAGAACAUUAUGAAGCUUUUUAAAAAUGGGAAACACAUCAUAGCAUGUGAGGCAAAAUUAUACCCAGAAUCUAAUAAAAUUAAAAAAGAGAGAGUUUAGUAAAGUGGGAAAAAUAAUGGUUUAACAUCGGGGUUCCUGGAUUCAAGAUCUGUCAAUGCCCAGCCAUGCGAUCUUCAUUUUGGACAUUUUAAUUCUCUCUCCAGUUAAAAAAUGAAGUUCAACUAGACAACCUAUAAUCAAGCUCCUAGUUUUAAGACUUAAAAUUGUCUAUAAAGAAAUACACUGGGAGAAAGUAGAAAACACUUGACUCCUGGGUUUGAAAACCAGGCCUCUUAUCUCUGAGCUGGGUAGCUUUGGGUGAGGUAUAUACUUGACUGUCCUCAAAGUUCAUUAAUAAAGUGGCAGAGUAGAGUGGGCAGGGGUUGAGCACCCUUUAGAUGCUAAAAUUGUAAAAGUAUAUAACUCUUCUAUGGAUAUUCCAUUUCUUUUUCUCAGAUAUGGAAUUUCUUAUUAUGGAAUUUUUUGAGAUAUGGAAUUUAAUUAUAAUAUUAUUGUUCAUUAUUAUUAUUAUUAUUUAUUGUUUAUUAUUAUUUAAUAUUAAAUAUGUGUUUAUAUUUCUAUAAACUCCUGUUCAUUUUAAACUCUAGAUCAACCACGUGAGUCUCUUACACAGGAAUGACACUAUUCCUUUUAGUAGUUCGCAUAAUUUUAAAUACUUGAGUUCCUAUAAUUUCACACAUUUUAACUCCAUGUUUUAACUCAUGCACACUCAAAUGUAUGUGUGAGCACAUACAUGCAUGCUUGUGCAUGUGUGUGUGUUUGGCAAUGAAAGAAAUUUGGACAUUUUUGUGGUGUGGGUCAAAAACAAUUUUUAUUGCUAUACUUAAAACCAGAAUCUAGUAAAACUCUCGGCAUCUAAAAAUGGAUCUCUUGUUUUCCCUAUACGACCAAUAAGUAAGACCGAUGAAGAGUUCCUGCUCUCUCAGGAUUAGUAAAGGUAAUGUGAUGCUAAUUUUUAAGAUGGUCCAUAUGCCAUAACAGAGUGUCAUCGUAAACAGGAGGAAAUACGGCAGUUAAAAGACUAAUGGUCAGUGAAAUCUACAACAGGAACGGAAAGAAUUUUCCCCUUACAAAUUUAGAAAUCCUUAC
rnacentral:lncRNA from 10 species